AACAUUAAUAACGCGAGUGAAUCUAACAAUAUAUCGCGGACAUUAAAGGAGACGGGAAGGAGAGAGAAACUCGGAAAUUCAGUGGAUUGGAAUGGAACUGAGUACAUCUGUCACCAAUUCAUCUCCCGACACGCCAUAUCAUUCCUGUCGUUUUUCAUUUCCCGCAAGAUUCACCGAAGAGUCAGGAGCUGGAGGAAUCCAGCAAAAAAU
ensembl:ncRNA F45B8.12 ncRNA